GGGAACUCCAGGGAGACUGCCGGUGAUAAACCGGAGGAAGGUGGGGACGACGUCAAGUCAUCAUGGCCCUUACGAGUAGGGCUACACACGUGCUACAAUGGCGCAUACAGAGGGCGGCCAACUUGCGAAAGUGAGCGAAUCCCAAAAAGUGCGUCGUAGUCCGGAUUGGAGUCUGCAACUCGACUCCAUGAAGUCGGAAUCGCUAGUAAUCGUGGAUCAGAAUGCCACGGUGAAUACGUUCCCGGGCCUUGUACACACCGCCCGUCACACCAUGGGAGUGGGCUGCAAAAGAAGUAGGUAGUUUAACCUUCGGGGGGACGCUUACCACUUUGUGGUUCAUGACUGGGGUGAAGUCGUAACAAGGUAGCGCUAGGGGAACCUGGCGCUGGAUCACCUCCUUA
rnacentral:rRNA from 2 species